rnacentral:rRNA from 1 species
AUUGAACGCUGGCGGCAUGCCUAACACAUGCAAGUCGAGCGAGCGGCGGGAGGGUGAGUAAGGUAUGGGAAUCUGUCCGUUAGAGAGGGAUAACUACGGGAAACGGUAGCUAAUACCGCAUACAAUCGGAUGAACCCCUAUGGGAUUAGCUAGUCGGUGAGGUAAUGGCUCACCAAGGCGACGAUCCCUAGCGGGCCUGAGAGGAUGAUCGGCCACACUGGGACGGAGACACGGCCCAGACUCCUACGGGAGGCAGCAGUGGGGAAUAUUGCACAAUGGGCGCAAGUCUGAUGCAGCCAUGCCGCGUGUAUGAAGAAGGUCUUAGGGUUGUAAAGUACUUUCAGUCGAGAAGCGUUACCGACCGAGGAAGCACCGGCUAACUCCGUGCCAGCAGCCGCGGUAAUAC